rnacentral:misc_RNA from 1 species
UCCUCGUUUAAGCGAGGCAGUCUGUCCAGAGUGCUCCCAACUCUCGUUAGGGUGGCAACAGGACACAAGGGUUGCGCUCGUUGCGGGACUUAACCCAACAUCUCACGACACGAGCUGACGACAGCCAUGCAGCACCUGUGCACGCUACCCUUGCGGGUUCGUUACGCUUUCACGCUCCUACUACGUGCAUGUCAAGGCCAGGUAAGGUUCUUCGCGUUGCAUCGAAUUAAGCCACAUACUCCACCGCUUGUGCAGGCCCCCGUCAAUUCCUUUGAGUUUUAGCCUUGCGGCCGUACUCCCCAGGCGGGGUGCUUAAUGCGUUAGCUGCGGCACGGGGGGAGUCGACACCCCCCACACCUAGCACCCAUCGUUUACAGCGUGGACUAC